GAGGAAUCUUCCACAAUGGGGGCAACCCUGAUGGAGCAACGCCGCGUGAAGGAUGAAGGCCCUCGGGUUGUAAACUUCUUUUAUGAGUGAAGAAUAUGACGGUAACUCAUGAAUAAGCACCGGCUAACUACGUGCCAGCAGCCGCGGUCAUACGUAGGGUGCAAGCAUUAUCCGGAGUGACUGGGCGUAAAGAGUUGCGUAGGCGGUUAGUAAAGCGAAUAGUGAAACCUGGUGGCUCAACCAUACAGACUAUUAUUCGAACUCACUAACUCGAGAAUGGUAGAGGUAACUGGAAUUUCUAGUGUAGGAGUGAAAUCCGUAGAUAUUAGAAGGAACACCAAUGGCGUAGGCAGGUUACUGGACCAUUUCUGACGCUAAGGCACGAAAGCGUGGGGAGCGAACC
rnacentral:rRNA from 1 species